CUCUCCCUCUCAUCACUGUCGUCAUCAGAAAAUAAAAACCAAGUGGCCAAAAUCAGCCCCAAAAGAUUGCAAUCAAGAGCAAAGAUUGUUCACUACUUCAAAAAGAAGCAGCUUUUCCUGGAAAAUUUAAGUGUCAUUCAUUAGCGGCUGCAGAAAACACUUCAGGAAAGAGACCUUGCCAAAGGCUGUCGUCACAGAAGGGAAGGACUUGAUCGUUGGCCACGUUUGGCACUCAAGGAGAACAAACAGGGACUCCAGAGAGUGACCAUCAGCGAAGGUGGGCAGCUGGAUGGGCCCUCAUGUGGCAGCUCAGCUUUUCUUCUCUGAAAAGUUGGCAGAGCCUGGCAGUGGCCUAGAAUUACCCAGCUGAAUUUGGCAUCAGCUUCAAGUCAGAGAUCUUGGAUUCAGAUCCCUGCUGUUCCAUUUUGCCUGCUGAAGACAGGUUUCUGAGGCUCACAGGCCCCAGGCAGUGAGGGGACGUCAGAGUCUGUGCUGGAGAUAUUGCUGGUCGUGCUUGUGAGGACCAAGAUGCCCCUUGUCCAGAAACUUCAGUGUUCUGCUCCAGCACGGCUGAAAUCAGAGAAGAUUGGGAGAAUGUCAUAGAUGGCACAGAAAUACCUGCUGCAGUCACAACACACCUAAAUGUCACAUCUCCUUCUCCUCAGGGCCUAAGUAACCCAGAGCGUGGGCACACGGUCGAUGCUCACAAAUUGGGAUGGCCGAGUCAUUGUCUCCGUGUCAUCUGCCUAUUACCUUCCAAUUAAAAUGUCCCCUUUUUGCCUGCAUAAACGGAAUUAAUUGGGCAACUGAGAACUUUAUUCCUAGUAACGAGCAAGGACGAAAUGUCUUAACUUUCUCUGUGGUUUUAUAGAUUUCUAUGGUUUUUAUUUUGUAGAAAAUGUACAAUGUCACAUGCCUACCACCAUGCAUCUCUUAGAUAAAUAAAAAGCAAUUACUGAAGUAUUUCCUGCUGAAUAGAUCAUUUUCCUGAUUCCUGCCUCAUAGAAUUUGUG